rnacentral:rRNA from 1 species
AUGGCUGCAUAUCGGCGAGAGGUGGACGCAGUGGCUGAUCACUUUAAAGGUUAUCAGGUGAACCAUAUAGACCGGCGGAAGAAUGAAGCGACGGACGCUUUAAGUCGUUUUGGUUCCCAAUGUAAACCGGUUUCACCCAAUGUCUUUCUUGAUGUAUUGCACAAUCUGCCAGUCAAAAUACCAACCGAAGAAGAUUUGGCUAUUCCUGAUCCGGAGGCUCAGUUGGUGGCAGCUCUGCAUGCCAUACCGGAUUGGACGAUCCCAUAUCUGGAUUACAUGAACCAGGGCGAGUUACCAGCUGAGGAAACGUUGACUCGACAGAUAAUCCGGCGGUCCAAGUCCAUGACCAUACUCAACGGGGAGUUACAUCGUUACAGUGUUUUAGGAGCAAUUCAGCGAUGCGUUUCUCCUCAAGAAGGUUGUGAGAUUUUGCGAGAAAUUCAUGAAGGGGAUUGCGGUCACCACGCUGGUUCAAACUCGUUGGUUGCCAAAGCUUUUCAGCACGGUUUUUACUGGUUGACGGCGCAUGCUGAUGCAGAGGAUUUAGUCAAAAGAUAUGAUGGAUGUCAAAAGUUUGCCCGCCGUGCGCACGUUCCGGCUCAAGAGUUGCGGAUGAUUCCAAUUAGGUGGCCAUUUGCAACUUGGGGGCUAGAUAUGGUUGGACCCUUCAAGCGCUCCAAGGACAAGAAGACCCAUCUGUUAGUAGCAGUUGAUAAAUUCACUAAAUGGGUAGAGGCAGAGCCAGUCAGCAAGUGUGAUGCAGCCACGGCGGUUCAAUUCAUUAAAAAGGUGAUAUUCCGGUUUGGCUUUCCACAUAGCAUUAUAACGGACAAUGGUACUAACUUAUCAAAAGGCGAGAUGGAAGAAUUCUGUCAAUGUGAGCACAUCCGGCUUGAUCUAGCAUCAGUGGCUCACCCCAAAUCUAAUGGUCAAGCGGAAAGGGCAAAUCAAAAAAUUCUAUGGGGUAUCAAACCAAGGCUUAUGAUUUCCUUAAAGCGGAUGCCGGGUUGUUGGGUCGAGGAGCUACCUUCUGUGUUAUGGAGCAUCAACACCACAACCAAUAGGUUUACGGGUUACACGCCUUUCUUCAUGGUUUAUGGAGCGGAGGCGGUUCUUCCUAGUGACAUCCGUCACGAUUCGCCCCGUGUGGCAGCUUAUUUUGAAGCUGAUAAUGAGAAGGCAUGUCAGAAUUCUCUGGACCUGUUGGAUGAAGAGCAGGAUCUUGCAGCAGCACGUUCGGUGAUUUAUCAACAAGAUCUUCGACGUUAUCACAGCCACCGGGUUAAAACUAGAACCUUUCAAGAAGGUGAUUUGGUGCUCCGGCUCAUCCAAGAUCAGACUGAUAUGCACAAGUUAUCCCCCUCUUGGGAAGGACCCUUUAUGGUCAGCAAAAAUCUGCACAACGGAUCCUACUAUCUCAUUGAUGUUCGAGAGCAUGAAGACUCACGUCAAUCGGAGGAGGAGACAAAGCGGCCAUGGAACAUAGCUCUCCUUCGGCCUUACUAUACUUGA